rnacentral:rRNA from 1 species
UACGAAGGGGGCUAGCGUUGUUCGGAUUUACUGGGCGUAAAGCGCACGUAGGCGGUUUGUUAAGUGAGAGGUGAAAUCCCAGAGCUCAACCCUGGACCUGCAUUCGAUACGGGCAGACUAGAGUUCGGCAGGGGAGACUGGAAUUCCUGGUGUAGCGGUGAAAUGCGCAGAUAUCAGGAGGAACACCGGUGGCGAAGGCGGGUCUCUGGGCCGAAACUGACGCUGAGGAGCGAAAGCGUGGGGAGCAAACAGG